AUUGAACGCUGGCGGCAGGCCUAACACAUGCAAGUCGAGCGGGGUUUUCGGACCUAGCGGCGGACGGGUGAGUAAUGCGUAGGAAGCUACCCGAUAGAGGGGGAUACCAGUUGGAAACGACUGUUAAUACCGCAUAAUGUCUACGGACCAAAGUGUGGGACCUUCGGGCCACAUGCUAUCGGAUGCGCCCACGUGGGAUUAGCUAGUUGGUGAGGUAAUGGCUCACCAAGGCGACUAUCCCUAGCUGGUUUGAGAGGAUGAUCAGCCACACUGGAACUGAGACACGGUCCAGACUCCUACGGGAGGCAGCAGUGGGGAAUAUUGGACAAUGGGCGCAAGCCUGAUCCAGCCAUGCCGCGUGUGUGAAGAAGGCCUUCGGGUUGUAAAGCACUUUCAGCGAGGAGGAAGGGGUGAGUGUUAAUAGUACUCAUCUUUGACGUUACUCGCAGAAGAAGCACCGGCUAACUCUGUGCCAGCAGCCGCAGUAAGAC
rnacentral:rRNA from 1 species